CUCUACCAGGCAGAGCGCGUGCGGCCGCCGAGCACAUGGACCCGCUGGUCAAGCGGGUUGUACAAGGCCAGAAUGAAGAGAAGCUGCGAGUCAGUAUGGAACUCAGAGGUCCCCGAGUGGAUAUCCGCGUGGAAAGGAUGUUGGCAGCCCGGGUGACCUCGGAGUCACGGCUGGAUCCACCCUCCUGUAAGUUCCAAGUUUAUCCCCUGGAAACUCUGGAGCCCAGGGAUGCACAGUCUGGAUAGAGGAAAGUGGCUUUUGCAUUCCCACGAGCGCGUGUUAACCUUGCACUUUUCCUCAUCCCUAGACUCGAGAUUGCCAGAGAGUUUGGGUGUGGGUGAGGAGUGUGGGUGCAAAGGAGAUUACAUAGAAUGGCCUUUACAUAGAGGUAAUUCUGGAUUUAUGCACUUGAUCAAAAGCCCGUUUUCUCAUGUCUAAAAGAAAAAGAGACGCCCCCUGCAAUCUGCGCAGAUUUGGGGCCGCUGAUGUGGUUUGGAGGCCUCAUUUAUGAAACUGGAAGUCUGAAUCUAGUGAUGCUCCUUCCAUCCCUGGCCAGCCCUCCUCUGAGACACCCCCUCGGGGCAGAAAGAAGGUGAUCUCCUAAAACUCGGUGGCAUGAAACUUUCUGUGCUUUUGUAUUGCAUUCCUGUGUUUGUUGAAGGCCCCCACACCUUCAUCAUUACUAAUUCUUUUGGGGUAGGUUGUUGCUUUAACGAGAUUGGCCCUUUCCUGGCUAAUAUUUUCUGCUGUACCUAUAAGUGGUGUGGGAGAGCUGUACAGACUUCCAGGAAGCGCAGCCAUGAAGCUACAUGUGCCUAUGUGGAGACAUACCAUGGAUUUUCCUAUGAGUUUACUGGUGUGCAAUAAUCUGUUCUUGAGCUCUUCUGGACAAUCUAGAAUCUUAGGAAGGAGAGAAAUCACUUAAGAGAGUCUAGGGAGAAGUAAGGUUUCUGUUUUCUUUCUGCUCUUGUGUUUUUAAGGGACUGAUGUCAUUUGGCCCAGAGAAAGCCAUGGAGAAGUGUGUGUGUGUGUGUGUGUGUCUGUGUGUCUGUGUGUCUGUGUGUGUGUCUGUCUGUGUGUUGGGGAGGGCUAAGGAUGCAGGUCUCUGUUUAACUGCAUGUGGUAGGAUGUUGCAGGCCUGUUUUGCAUAUGGGCAGUGACAAGUUUGGGCUUGUUCACUUGCACAGUCCUAUGGUCAUAGCUAGUCCUUCUCAAGCUCUAGCCAGUGGCAAAGCGUUUGUGUUUCAAUCCUUGGAACUCCAAGUGGGACUUCUUAAAAGAUUUAUAAGGAACAAAGCUGUCAGGAAAGCAGAAAUACACACGGACUCCAUGACUAGAAAAACCUCGUGGUGGCCUGCUCUCCGGUGCUUGGAAGUGUGCUAGUUACAUCUUGGAGGCCUGAUUUUCUUAACUCGACCCUGGUGAGAAGAUGCCCUCCGGCAGGCUAUGCUUGCAGACUCCACGGAGCCUCUCUCAAGAUUUCCUGAACCUUGUGGAUUUACAGUAAGACGAAGUUCCCUGGGGAGUAAUUCUGGUGGAUGCAAAUUCUGGAGUAAUACACCUGGCUUGCCUUGAGAUGUUACAAGUGGCCUAAUGGAUUCUUCUAGCCUGGACGCCCACUGGGGACAAGGAUCAUUAGUGAGAGGAUUGUAUCUCUAUCCUUGACUCCAUGGGAAUAUUUGCUCUGAUCUCUCAGGCUCCCUCUAAAAUGUAAGUCCCCAAGACCCCUCUCCUUUCAAUGAAGUGUUUCUGAUGUGUUCCUGUGCUUUACUCCAAGCUAUCCUGGCUGCUGGCUGAGGGCUGUAUGUUCAUGUGGCUGCUCUGAGAAGUUCUGCUGUCUUCUAUGUUCAUCUAUGUGUCUGGCGUGACACUGGAAGCCUGUGGGUGAAAGACAAAAAAGUAGAACUUGUUCUAUGUUAAAAUAAUAUUAAAAAGAGAAUCCCCUCUGGAGCUACCCUUGCCCAAGUUGAUGGGUACUUACCAAUUGAAAGUUCUUAUUUCUGUCUAGACUCUAAAUGCUUUGAAGGCAAGGCCUGAGGAGGAUGGCUAUGUCUCUGAGACUUAGUGGGUACCUGGCAUUGGUCUCUCACCCUGCAAGAAUGAGAAAUGAAGAUGUGAUGGUUAAUUCAUUAAGGCACUGGCAAUUUCAUAAGGAAGAUAGACACAAUAAAACCCUUUCUUGACUCUAUGCCAAGAGCUGAGAACACCACGGGACCAGAUGGUUGGUACCAUGUGUGUCAGCAGGUAGCUGUUCUGAGUUUAAAUCUUUACCACCCUAUGUGACUCAGGGCCAGUGACAAUCCGAUUCCCUUCUCCCUUUAGCAUGACUGAAGUUAGUAUUCUCUUCUGUCACAGGGUUGACAGAGCUGAGGCUCACAACAGGCUGAACAUGUGCCUGAUGCUUUGCACAGGGUCAGGACCAGCUUCUGGGGAGGGUGAGCAUUGGUUGGCCCUGAGAAGAUUCUAAGGAGCCAGGUGAGAAGCAUUGAUUUAAGAGAUGCCAAGUAACUCAGCGGAUGUCACACAGAUGAUAAAGAGCAAGGAUAGACUUCUUCAUUUCAUGCUUCAGGCAAUUCUCUAAGACAGCUGAUUUCUCCAGAGCUGGUAGGUAAGUAUCUACCUCCCAGAAUGCAAUGUGUCCAGAGAUUAUAAUAAGUGAAAUAUUGAAUUGCCAACUUCUUUUCUUCUUCUACGCUUGGAUUCUUUUUUAAGUUUUUUCCCCCCUGUAGGAGACAGACUUGCUCACGUGAUAGAUCCGGCCAUGAUGUUGGCCCUAAGAGAACGAGAUGCUCUUUGCAGAAGACAUAGAAGAUUCCUGAAACUGGGAAAGGGGCCUAGAAACCUGGAGAAGAGUGAAGAAGGCAUUUUCCCUCCCCUGCCUAGGCAUCUGCCACCAUAUUCAAUACUUUCUCCAGGGUUCUUGUCAUUGCUCAGGUAUCGUCUUUCAGUUUAGUUGGAUGGAACAUUAGUCUGGAAAUUUUACUUUCAAUUGAACUCGCUCGUUGAACUGCCUCCAUCUUCAAAGGAUCCCAUUAGGGUAAUUAUAGCUAUGGCUACAAAGCAUUAUUUGCACUCAAUUUCAGCUUUAGGUAAUUCAGUUUAGAUGUUUUAUGGUUUCACUAUUUGGAGGUGUAUAAACCCAUCACUUUCAUACACUUCCCAGGAGUUGUUUUAGAAUCCCAAGUCAAAGUAAGAGUUCCCUUGGUGUUUCAAGUAUAAUACCCUCUGAGCCAUCUCUGCCCUGGGAUCACUUUCUUCGUUUUCUUACCUCUAUCUUCUUUAACUCUUAAGCAGCAGACAGGUAGCCUAGUUCAUGCUCUCUUUCCCCAAAAGUUUAGACCUCAGCUUGUGGACCAGGACUGUCUUGUUUCACAUCACAUGCCUCCCUCAGAGUAGGUGCUUGCAUGAUGAAUGGAUAGAUGGGUGAAUGAAUCCUCAAAGUAUGACUUGUAUUUUUUCCUUUUUAAAAAGUCAGUAUUUUAUUAUAUCAAUACUGAAUGAUUUUGUUCCUUUGAGAGUAAGAAACCCAGAAUUUUUCCAAGAAGGUGGAGAUGCUUUUAAUGUAUCUUUGCUGAUCGUUGCCUCAUCCUCAUCUCUGCAUGAGGAAUAAUUUGUCAUCCUUUUGGAGCACAUUUUUCUCUGGCCUUUCAUUUGUAUUUAUGUAUACAUCCACACAGAGAACCGCCAACUUGUGAGCAGAUUGCUUUGCUGUAUGUUUUCCACACAGCAGUCUGCCGAGCCUGCUGACAUAUAGAAGUCCCCUUUCCCCCUUUUUAGCUAAUACAAACUAUUAUCAUGCUAACUGGAUUUGCCACCUCUCAUCUGAACCAAAUGAAAUUGUGUUUGUAGGUAUACAUGUAUGUGUGUUCCGUGUAUGGAGACACCAGAUGCUAAUCAUGGAUGCUAUUUCUCAAGCACUGUUGAUCUUAUUGUUUUUGUGACAGGUUUCCUAUUGGCUUGGAAUUUGUCAAUUAGGUUUGCUGGCUGGAUAGAAAGCCACAUGGAUCCUCUUGUCUUGGUCUUCUUACAUUUGGAUUAAAGUCAUUUCCUGAAUCUAUGACAAGACUUGAGAGACCACCAAAGCCCAAGAGGUCUUGUUUCACAAGAGAAUCUUCAGGUGUUUUAGGCCUUUAUGACACAUCCCAAGCCCUUCAGAGAGCCACAAGAAUGGCUCAGAGGAAAUUCUAAACCACUAUGACUCAUGGGUCACCUGGAGGUGCAGGCUGCAGCUAUGUUAAACCUAUGAGGUGAUGAUAAACCACACAACUGGAAACCAGAAUGGAAGAACAGAAGCUGGAUCCUUGACAGAAUUGUUGAUGGAAUAGUCCAUCAUCCGGGGCUGAGACCACUUCCAAAUUUCUUGUUUGGUGAAACAAUUCCUGAUUGUUUACAUUUGUUUCUUUUGAGCUGUCUCUUACUUGUAGCUGAAAGCAUUUCUAAUAGAUAUUCAAAUUAUUUGCACAGCAAGGGGCAGCCAGAGCUCCAGGGGUUCCAACCUAAAAUAAUCUAUGGAACCACAUAUAAGUGUCUUAGCUUCUUCAUGAAUUCCUUUGCUCAUCUGUGUAAUGCUCAAUAAAUGUAAAUUGAAUCCUGAAUGAGGGACAGUGGCACUAUUGAAGUCAUGAUUGUCAAUCUUAUUAACUGACUAAAUAUUUACAAAAAGGUUGGAACAUUGCCGUACUCACAGUAAGCGGCUAUGGAAGGGGUUGGCAAAUGGACUGAGAAGAAAAGCAGCCAUGUUUGUAGGCUUUCUUUUGCUUCUUGAUCCUCAAGCCUCUGUGGUCUUUAAGCAGAACCUUGACCCCUUCACUACUGGGGCCCAUGGAGCAUGAAAUGCCCCCCAAACUGUCUCAAAACACCCACACUAGUAGUUUCUUUUUGACACAAAAGACCUCUUAGUGAAUGCUGGAUUGUGAAAAAGAAGGGGUUGCUACCACCAAAUCAUGUCAGUAGAUGACCAAAAUACCCAAAGCAACUCAUGCAAAUAGAUUCAAGUCUCUCUGGACAAGGCUUCUGGAAGGCUCUAGAAUUUUUGAAGCUCAUUUUUGUAAGGGUCUUUCCAUCUGGUGGCCUUUUCUUUUGCAUCUCCUCUCCUCUUUCUCAUCAGAGGUAGAGGGAUGGGAGGAAGAGUAGUGCUUGGGCUCUCCGCCCUUUCUGUGUAGCGAGGAACCAGACUGCUGAGCAUGUGUGAAGCAGCAGGUGUGAUUUGGGAUGUUACUUUCUGUUACACCAAAUGGCCAGCCUCCAGAGAGGUCACUAGAAAUUGACCAGCGAGUAGGCAUUAUUUCAAAAUAGUUCUUGAUCAUGGGAUUAAAGAACCAACUAGUAAGUGUGCCCAUUUAAAAAAAAAAAUCUGCCAAAGAAUCCUACCUCACAUUUGGAAAGUUCCUGUUGAAUGUGUGCCCUUCCGAUUCACUUCUUAUCCUUUCUUUCAGAAACACCCAAGAAAAGGAGGCCUUACCUUUGAACCACUCUCCUACCCAACCUUCCUGCUUCUGUCUGACCUACCUUCCUUCUUCAGCAGCUAGGAUCCUUUAAAAGUGAGCACCAAAUGAUGGGGAUUCUUCAGCCACAAGUGUCCUCUGAAAUUCUAUCUUACUUAGAAUAAAAUCUCUAGAUUUAUACAGUGUCCCGUGUAUGGGUGGUGGCUUAUUUUUUCCUGCCAAUUUCUUGCUUGUUCACACCACUCUCCGCCUGGCUUUCUUAUGUCACAGAUUCCCUGAGUACACUCUGGCCUCAGUCUUUCCAUGAAGCAACUCCCUUUUCUAGAACAUUCUUUCCCGCAUAACUCUCUGCUCUGUCCUCAUUAUAUUCUGAUCAGUAUUUGGAUGUCAAUUUCCAGUCAGGCCUUCUGUGCCCAACCUCUAAAGUGUGCUCUCCUUCUUUGCUGUCCCUAAGUCACUUUAUUGUAGACUAAAUGUUAGCAAUUUUUCACCAGGAUAUAAGCCUAGUGAUAAAGGAGUCAUUAUUCCACUGUCAUACUAGUUACAGAAUCCCGACUGUUCUGCAUUGGGUGCUUUACUAAGUUAUAAAGCUCAAUAAAAUAUUUUGACAAAGUUUUAAA